GAAAGUUUUAUUUUUGCUUUAUAUUAGGUAACUUUAUUUUUUAAAUAUAUUUUUGUUGAUUGAUUGAUUGUAUUAUAUAAAUUUAUGUAAACUAAAAAUUUAGGUAAAAGAAAUAAAAAUUAAAAAUAGCUAAGAUUGUGCCAGCAGCUGCGGUUAAACAAUUGUUUUAAUUUAAUAUAAUUUAAAUUUUAAGGGUUUGAUUGAAAGCGGAAAAUAUUUAUUUUAAGUGAAAUUUAAUAAAUAAAAAUUUAAUCAUUAAUUUAAUUAAUUAAAAAAAAUAAAAAAAUCAAACCAGGAUUAGAUACCCUGUUAUGAUUUAUAAAAAUAUAAAUUUAGAGUAGUAAUUGUUAAGUUCAGGAAACUCAAAAAAUUUGGCGGUGUUUAUUCUGAAUAGAGGAAUAUGUUUUUAAUCGAUAAUACGCGUUUAUUCAACUUAUUUUGAUUUAUUUUGUAUACUUCCGUCUUAAAAAAUUUUUUUAAAAUAAAUUUUAUAAUUUUAUAAUAAAAAAAGUCAGGUCAAAGUGCAGCUUAUAAAUAAGAAAAAAUGUAUUACAAUAAAUUUAUUUAUGGAAAUUUAAUGAAAAAAUGUGAAAAUUGGAUUUAUAAGUAAAUUAAAUUUUAUAAAAUUUAAUUGAAAGAGUUAAUAAACAUGUACAUAUUGCCCGUCAUUCUCUUUAAGAGACAAGUCGUAACAAAGUAGAUUUACUGGAAAGUGAAUCUGGAUUCAG
rnacentral:ncRNA from 1 species